GUCCACGCCGUAAACGAUGGGUGCUAGGUGUGGGCGGUGUCGACUCCGUCCGUGCCGAAGCUAACGCAUUAAGCACCCCGCCUGGGGAGUACGGCCGCAAGGCUAAAACUCAAAGGAAUUGACGGGGGCCCGCACAAGCAGCGGAGCAUGUGGUUUAAUUCGACGCGACGCGAAGAACCUUACCAAGGCUUGACAUGACCAGGAAUGUCGUGGAAACACGGCAGCCCUUCGGGGCCUGGCCACAGGUGGUGCAUGGCUGUCGU
rnacentral:rRNA from 1 species